UACAGAGGUCUCAAGCGUUGUUCGGAUUCAUUGGGCGUAAAGGGUGCGUAGGCGGCGCGGUAAGUCGGGUGUGAAAUCUCGGAGCUUAACUCCGAAACUGCAUUCGAUACUGCCGUGCUUGAGGACUGGAGAGGAGACUGGAAUUUACGGUGUAGCGGUGAAAUGCGUAGAUAUCUGAAGGAACACCAGUGGCGAAAGCGGCUUCCUGGUCCAGCACCGACGUUCAGGCACGAAAGCGUGGGGAGCAAACAGG
rnacentral:rRNA from 1 species